rnacentral:rRNA from 1 species
GACGAACGCUGGCGGCGUGCUUAACACAUGCAAGUCGAACGCUAAACCCGCUCCGGGGGGGGAUGAGUGGCGAACGGGUGAGUAACACGUGGGCAACCUGCCCCCGGCUCUGGUAUAACUCCGAGAAAUUGGGUCUAAUACCGUACGUGACCGCUUGCCGCAUGGUCUGGUUGUGGAAAGGUUUUGCGGCUGGGGAUGGGCCCGCGGCCUAUCAGCUUGUUGGUGGGGUAGUGGCCUACCAAGGCGACGACGGGUAGCCGGCCUGAGAGGGUGACCGGCCACACUGGGACUGAGACACGGCCCAGACUCCUACGGGAGGCAGCAGUGGGGAAUAUUGCGCAAUGGGCGGAAGCCUGACGCAGCGACGCCGCGUGGGGGAUGACGGCCUUCGGGUUGUAAACCUCUUUCAGCAGGGACGAAGCGCAAGUGACGGUACCUGCAGAAGAAGCACCGGCCAACUACGUG